AACGAACGCUGGCGGCAUGCCUAACACAUGCAAGUCGAACGAACCCUUCGGGGUGAGUGGCGCACGGGUGCGUAACACGUGGGAACCUGCCCUUAGGUUCGGAAUAACAGUUAGAAAUGACUGCUAAUACCGGAUAAUGUCUUCGGACCAAAGAUUUAUCGCCUUUGGAUGGGCCCGCGUAGGAUUAGCUAGUUGGUGAGGUAAAGGCUCACCAAGGCGAUGAUCCUUAGCUGGUCUUAGAGGAUGAUCAGCCAUACUGGGACUGAGACACGGCCCAGACUCCUACGGGAGGCAGCAGUGGGGAAUAUUGGACAAUGGGCGAAAGCCUGAUCCAGCAAUGCCGCGUGAGUGAUGAAGGCCUUAGGGUUGUAAAGCUCUUUUACCUGGGAUGAUAAUGACAGUACCAGGAGAAUAAGCCCCGGCUAACUCCGUGCCAGCCGCCGCGGUAA
rnacentral:rRNA from 1 species